CACUGAGUGUGACACUAAGGAGAGCGCAUGACUGUUAAUCAUGAUGUCACUGGUUCGAGCCCAGUUGGGGGAGCCA
rnacentral:tRNA from 1 species